rnacentral:sRNA from 1 species
ACUGAGCCGCAGUAGCUAUGAAGUCAUAGAACUAGAGUGGAAUGUAGGCAAUUGGACCCUGAACCCUCCAUCAAGGAGUAGGUAUCCCUGAGAUAAAUGAGGGGAAAAUGCAGCCUUUCCAGACCCAUUGGCUCUGACAUCUGGAGCGGGGAUCCUGCCUUCUGAAAGGCAGAAUUAUUGGUGAUUCCAUGUGCUGUUGUUUACUUUGCUUACCAAGACCUAUCAAGAUUGAGUCAUUUAUGCUCUCAUCUCUGAGAGACUCAGUGCUCUUCAUGCAGUUGGACCCAAUGCUUCAUGCUCCGCUACUUACAGGGUAUGGCUCUCUCGGCAUGAUGACCAGUGUGCUGGUUUGUCCAGAUGGCAAGACAGUAGAAGCAGAGGCUGCCCACGGGACUGUAACCCGUCACUACCGCAUGUACCAGAAAGGACAGGAGACGUCCACCAAUCCCAUUGCUUCCAUUUUUGCCUGGACCAGAGGGUUAGCCCACAGAGCAAAGCUUGAUAACAAUAAAGAGCUUGCCUUCUUUGCAAAUGCUUUGGAAGAAGUCUCUAUUGAGACAAUUGAGGCUGGCUUCAUGACCAAGGACUUGGCUGCUUGCAUUAAAGGUUUACCCAAUGUGCAACGUUCUGACUACUUGAAUACAUUUGAGUUCAUGGAUAAACUUGGAGAAAACUUGAAGAUCAAACUAGCUCAGGCCAAACUUUAAGUUCAUACCUGAGCUGAGAAGGAUAAUUGUCUUUUGGUAACUAGGUCUACAGGUUUACAUUUUUCUGUGUUACACUCAAGGAUAAAGGCAAAAUCAAUUUUGUAAUUUGUUUAGAAGCCAGAGUUUAUCUUUUCUAUAAGUUUACAGCCUUUUUCUUAUAUAUACAGUUAUUGCCACCUUUGUGAACAUGGCAAGGGACUUUUUUAAAAGUUUUAUUUUAUUUUCUAGUACCAGCCUAGGAAUUCGGUUAGUACUCAUUUGUAUUCACUGUCACUUUUUCUCAUGUUCUAAUUAUAAAUGACCAAAAUCAAGAUUGCUCAAAAGGGUAAAUGAUAGC